rnacentral:rRNA from 1 species
GACAGAGGUCCCGAGCGUUAGGCGGAAUCACUGGGCUUAAAAGCGUGUGUAGGCGGAUCGUUAAGUGGCCUUGUGAAAUCCCAUGGCUUAACCAUGGAACUGCUGGCAUACUGGCGAUCUUGAGCCACUUAGGGGGCAACCGGAACAAAUGGUGGAGCGGUGAAAUGCGUAGAUAUCAUUUGGAACGCCAAUGGUGAAAACAGGUUGCUGGGAGUGUGCUGACGCUGAGACACGA